rnacentral:rRNA from 1 species
GUCGUCAGCUCGUGUCGUGAGAUUGUUCGGGUUAACGUCCCGCAACGAGCGCUAACCCUAUUGUUAGUUGCCAUCAUUCAGUUGGGCACUCUAGCGAGACUGCCGGUAAUAAACCGGAGGAAGGUCGGGGAUGACGUCAAAUCAUCAUGCCCCUUAUGACCUGGGCUACACACGUGCUACAAUGGUUGGUACAACGAGUUGCGAGUCGGUGACGGCGAGCUAAUCUCUUAAAGCCAAUCUCAGUUCGGAUUGUAGGCUGCAACUCGCCUACAUGAAGUCGGAAUCGCUAGUAAUCGCGGAUCAGCACGCCGCGGUGAAUACGUUCCCGGGCCUU